GAGUUCCCGUUGAUUGACGUGCUUGCACUGAUUUCAACAUUGGAACGAGUGGCGAACUGGUGAGUAACACGUGGAAAACCUGCCCAGAAGCAGGGGAUAACACUUGGAAACAGGUGCUAAUACCGUAUAACAACAAAAACCGCAUGGUUUUUGUUUGAAAGGUGGCUUCGGCUAUCACUUCUGGAUGGUUCCGCGGCGCAUUAGCUUGUUGGUGGGGUAACGGCUCACCAAGGCGAUGAUGCGUAGCCGACCUGAGAGGGUAAUCGGCCACAUUGGGACUGAGACACGGCCCAGACUCCUACGGGAGGCAGCAGUAGGGAAUCUUCCACAAUGGACGCAAGUCUGAUGGAGCAAUGCCGCGUGAGUGAAGAAGGGUUUCGGCUCGUAAAACUCUGUUGUUGAAGAAGAACGGGUGUCAGAGUAACUGUUGACAUCGUGACGGUAUUCAACCAGAAAGCCACGGCUAACUACGUGCCAGCAGCCGCGGUAAUACGUAGGUGGCAAGCGUUGUCCGGAUUUAUUGGGCGUAAAGCGAGCGCAGGCGGUUUCUUAAGUCUGAUGUGAAAGCCUUCGGCUUAACCGAAGAAGUGCAUCGGAAACUGGGGAACUUGAGUGCAGAAGAGGACAGUGGAACUCCAUGUGUAGCGGUGGAAUGCGUAGAUAUAUGGAAGAACACCAGUGGCGAAGGCGGCUGUCUAGUCUGCAACUGACGCUGAGGCUCGAAAGCAUGGGUAGCGAACAGGAUUAGAUACCCUGGUAGUCCAUGCCGUAAACGAUGAGUGCUAGGUGUUUGGAAGGGUUUCCCGCCCUUCAGUGCCGCAGCUAACGCAUUAAGCACUCCGCCUGGGGGAGUACGACCGCAAGGUUGAAACUCAAAGGAAUUGACGGGGGCCCGCACAAGCGGUGGAGCAUGUGGU
rnacentral:rRNA from 2 species